rnacentral:lncRNA from 1 species
AAGGGUUAUUUUUUUCAUAUUUUCUUUUUUCGAGUUUUGCAAUAAAAUUCUAAUUUAAUAAUAAUUAGAAGACAUUUUGUCUUUUGUGGUGUAUAUAAUACUCCCUUCGUCCCCAUAAAUAUAAUUAGGUGCUUUCAGCACGAGUUUUAAUGAAAAUUUAUUUAAAAUAUUGAUAAUGGAGAAAAAGGUUUAAAGAUAUUGUUAAGUAGAUUGUGGAUAAAUACUG